CAAUCAUUCCCAUUCCCCAGGUGUGCACAAUCAUUCCAUUACUCCUUUAUGCUUCGGUACCAUUAAACCAAGGCAUAAACGAGUAACUCUUGGAGUCGAGAUGCUUUUAUGUCCAAAGUGAAAUUCUCAAGAGUUUGUGAGGCUCAUCCACCCUCGGGCCAGCUCAGGGAAGGAACCAGCAGGAACCCAAAGCCUCUGCCUUUUCCAGUCUCCAGGCCCCUGCUGCCACCACUGCCCCAGUCAAGGCCCUCAGCAUGCCCCAACUCAGAGGUGCACCCUCAUUCAUGCUACCCUUCCGAGACCUGCUUCCCCACCCCAGACUGGCUGAAGACCCCAUGGACUCCCGCCCAGCCAAGGGAGAGAGCUGAGAACACUCGACAAAGGGGCUUCAGUGAUGUCAUCUUUGACAGGUCCAUGCGAUGGGGAAACUGAGGCACAGGGAAGUCAAAGAGCUGAGGAGGGACACAGCUGGGGUUUGAACCUCACCAGACCCCCUCAUGUGGUCGGCACUCUUGACCCCUGUGCUGUCUUCAGCCUUGUGUUUCACGGCAGAGUCUUCAGUGGAAUUGGAGAUGCGGAUACCAUGGUGACCGUUUGAUUUUGAAAGGGCAGCAAGUUGUUUAGAAGCUAAGGCUGGGGCUCAGAAAACAUUGUCUCCCCGUUGCCCAGUAGCAUACAGAGGGAGCUCAAGCAAUCGAUAUAUGUUGGACUUCCCUGGUGGACCAGUGGUUAAGAAUCCGCUUGCCAAUGCAGGGGACACGGGUUUGAUCCCUGGUCUGGGAAGAUUCCACAUGCCAGCAGAGCAACCAAGCCCAGUGCACCUCAACUACUGAAGCCUGAGGGAUCUCGAGCCCGCGUUUCUGCAGCUACUGAAGCCUGUGGUGCCCUAGAAUCUGUGCUCCUCAACAAGACAAGCCAAAGCAAUGACAAGCUGGCUAGACUAGAGACUAGAGAGUAGCUCCAUUUUCACAGCUAAAGAAAGGCUGCGUGCAGCAACAAAGAUCCCGUGCAGCUGAAGAUAAGUAAAAUUUAAAAAGAAAUAAAUAUCGACUGGUAUAAUUAAUGAAUUAAUCUGGUAGCAGAGAUUUGGGAGCUCUCCACCCUUGUGAAACAGAAACAGGCCCUGUGGGGCCUUCCCAGUGACAGACAUCUGUGUUCCCCACUUCUUGCUUGUAGAAAAAGCUUUUAGCCUCUUAGGCCUUAUCUGAGAGCAGACUCAGCAAUUGAUGAUUGGAGAAGUGGGAAAUCAGGGACAAAAAUGAAGCAGUCAAGCGGGAAAGUAAUAGCAAAUUAAAUAAUAGGUCCACCAGAAAAAAGAGUCACAAAACCCCUAGCUUCUCCUUGAGGUUACCCCUCUAUGGAGAGCCUUCUGACACAUAUUCUUAUGCUGUUUUGGCAGAAACCAGGACCCUACCAGAUGGAAACUGCUGACCUCAAACAUAUAGAGCCUAAACUGGUUGGAGGCAGAAGAUUGAUCACUCUGUUAACUCACCACCAACCAAUCAGAAAAAUGUCCAUGACAUGGUCAUACACCCUGUGACCCUCACCCCUAAUGCUGCUUUGAAAAACCCUUUCCUGGAAGCCAUCAGAGGUCGGACAUCUUUGGCACUUUGGCUACCUUCUCUUCUUGCUUGGCACUGUUCAAAGGCAAGAAUACUGGAAUGGGUUGCCAUUUUCUUCCUCUAGAGGAUAUUCCCGACCCUGGGAUUGAACCUCCAUCUCCUGUGAUUCCUGCAUUGCAGGCAGAUUCUUUAUCUGCUGAGCCAUCAGGGAAGCCCCUAAAAUGCACCUGAUCCCUCUGGUAACUGAUGACCUGAAAAGAGGCAUGGAGCUGGGCAUGGACAAAAGCAGGAGAGCAGUGACUGGAGUCUGUUGCCUGGGAUUUCAGAAAUGGUCCCCAGACGCUUCUUUCAUCUCUUGGGAGAUGCUCCCCCCACUCUUCACAUUAGGGUCUCCAGACUGAGAGACACUCUGGGAC
ensembl:lncRNA